GAUGAAGAACGCAGCGAAAUGCGAUACUUGGUGUGAAUUGCAGAAUCCCGUGAACCAUCGAGUCUUUGAACGCAAGUUGCGCCCGAAGCCAUUAGGCCGAGGGCACGCCUGCCUGGGCGUCACACGUCGUUGCCCCCCCAUCUACUCCUUCGGGAUUGCGGGGGGCGGAUGAUGGCCUCCCGUGCGCCUCGUCGCGCGGUUGGCCUAAAUGCCAAGUCCUCGGCGACGCACGCCACGACAAUCGGUGGUUGCGAAACCUCGGUUGCCCGUCGUGUGCGGUCGUCGCGCAUCGAGGGCUCGAAAAAAUUGCCGGGCUUCGGCUCAACUUUCAACGCGACCCCAGGUCAGGCGGGGUUACCCGCUGAAUUUAAGCAUAUCAAUAAGCGGAGGA
rnacentral:misc_RNA from 1 species